CGGCGGACGGGUGAGUAACACGUGGAUAACCUACCUAUAAGACUGGGAUAACUUCGGGAAACCGGAGCUAAUACCGGAUAAUAUAUUGAACCGCAUGGUUCAAUAGUGAAAGGCGGUUUUGCUGUCACUUAUAGAUGGAUCCGCGCCGCAUUAGCUAGUUGGUAAGGUAACGGCUUACCAAGGCAACGAUGCGUAGCCGACCUGAGAGGGUGAUCGGCCACACUGGAACUGAGACACGGUCCAG
rnacentral:rRNA from 1 species